rnacentral:rRNA from 1 species
GUGGGGAAUUUUGGACAAUGGGCGCAAGCCUGAUCCAGCAAUGCCGCGUGCAGGAAGAAGGCCUUCGGGUUGUAAACUGCUUUUGUACGGAACGAAACGGUCCUGGUUAAUACCUGGGGCUAAUGACGGUACCGUAAGAAUAAGCACCGGCUAACUACGUGCCAGCAGCCGCGGUAAUACGUAGGGUGCGAGCGUUAAUCGGAAUUACUGGGCGUAAAGCGUGCGCAGGCGGUGCUGUAAGACAGGCGUGAAAUCCCCGUGCUCACCCUGGGAAUUGCGUUUGUGACUUCAGUGCUGGAGUACGGCAGAGUGGGAUGGAAUUCCGCGUGUAGAAGUGAAAUGCGUAGAUAUGCUGAGGAACACCGAUGGCGAAGGCAGUCCCCUGGGCCUGUACUGACGCUCAUGCACGAAAGCGUGGGGAGCAAACAGGAUUAGAAACCCCGGUAGUCC